GGAGAUUGCUCCUUUUGGAGCCCUUCCAUGAGCCCAGGAUACAGCACAAUCCUACAGGGAGAACAUCCAGACAAGGAGACUUUAUACAAGGAUAUAUGCCCUAUCUCCAAUGUAUACAAAUCUUAUCUACAAACAGGGGCAGUUAUGCAAUGAAACGUUGAUUGUUCACACUGAAAGAGAAGCUUCUAGCAACACCUUUAAUGGAAAAAUACAGAGAAAACACAAAAGACCAUUGAUGAAAAUGAUGACUGCAUGAAUUACAGCCUUCAUGAGAAAGCUGGAGAGAUUUGGUGAUGUCUGUAGCUUCUUGCUACAGGUAAAACUUCAAUGGUGAUUUCAGGUUGGAAUGUGCAGACUGCUCUAUGAAUGACUUGUGGCCGUGAAGAUGAGCCUAUUAACUUGUUUGCACAUCUCAAUGAACUGGGUUUGUCAGAAAACAGAACUGAAUGCUACAUCUUUUAAUAUUUCUGACAAAACAAGGACAGAGCUAAAGACAGUAGUUUAUAAAACAUAUAGGAAAGAGGGGCAAAAACCUACAAAUACUAGAUUACUCUCUUAAUAUAUACUGAAAGUUCAACCAAGCAUACCUAUUGAUAUUGAUGUGUAUACACAUGUGUACCAAUAACUAACAGCACUGCCUGAAUUUGGGCACGUAGUUUAAUGAAUCCCAUUCUGACAGUGAAAAACUGAGACUGAAUACACAAAAAAAAUUUUGCCACUUCACUACAAUGAGGGGGGGGAAAAAAGUGGUUGAACAGUCAUGUGAUGACAAACUCAAGUUCUAAUUCAAGAAAGCAUAGCUUAGAAACUUUUUGUGGUGAAGGAAUGAGUGUAGUCUGGUUUCUAACUGAGCUCUUACACUACACAUUUCUCUUCAAGACCAACUUUGUCUAUCCUGUUCACCACUGAAAGUAACUAAAUCAGGCAUUUAACUGGAGCUUAGUGAUAUCUCGACUGACAAAAAGCAGCCGUGGAAUAAGUGCAUGCUUCCUGCUAGAAUCAUACUUUGAUUUCACUAGGUGCUACUUCAAAUCACCGUUUUUCUCUUCAUUUGAAUUUUGUUGAGUGUGAGAACUUUGAUGUCUUCUCAAUAAUAUCAUACCAAAGAAUGGGCAGGAAGCUCCAACAAAUUGAAUAACUUAGGAAAGCAAACCAUUGCUGCAGCUCAGCAGCAUAAUGGAAGAAAGUAAGCAGUCUGGAGAAUUUGAUUGCUUCUUAUAAUUUAAACGAAAUGAAAAACAUUAAUAACAGUGCUUACUUCAUUAUGUUACUCUUUGAUAUGGCCUCUGUACCUACAGUGUUUAAAAAGGAUGUUAUAAAUUGAACAGUGUAAGCUUUCUCAGGUAUUUAUUUUAGAAGGG
rnacentral:lncRNA from 1 species